GAAUUUUGAGUCACAGAUUAAAUGAGUUCAUGUUAGGAUGAAAAGUAUUGAAAUGGUGCACAAUUAAUAUUUAUGUUAAUUGUGAAAAAAAUUAACCAGCAUGGACGAUAACUUGAAAAAUGAACUGAGAAACUAACGUCUACCAGGCAUACUGUUAAUUACAUGAGAAAUGCCUGAAUGUAAUAGUUUUUUAUUGCUGCAUAAUAAAUAACCAUAAAUUAAUGGCUUAAAAGCAGGACCUGUUAAGUGCUGGAAGAAAGAAGUCUGCGGAGAAGGGCAUAGUGUUGUGCCCAGAUCGCGAAGUCCCCAAAGACCACCAAGGAGCCGAUUCCGAUGCAAACACACGAGGGUCGGUCGUUUAUUCAAGCUCCAGCAGGGACUCACAACCGUCACCGGCACAGCGGAUGAGGAUUGAGAGCACCGAAUUUUAAAUCACCAGGGUUUUUAUUGUGUCUACAGCAAGGUAUUCCACUGCUGGGAAUAUAUCCAAAGGAAAUGAAAUCAGCAUACCAAAGAUACCUGCAGGCCCAUAUUUAUUGCAGCACUAUUUACAAUAAUUAUGAUAUAGAAUAAACCUUGAUGCCCAUCAACAGAUGAAUGGAUAACAAAUGUGGUAAAUAUACACAAUGUAGUAGUAUUUCACCCAAAAGAUGAAUGAAAUCCUGUCAUUUGUGACAAAAUGGAUGGGACUAGGGGACAUUCUGUUAAGUAAAAUAAAUGAAUCACAUACAAAAAGAAAAAUACUGCAUAUUCGUUCAUACAUAGAAGCUAAAAAAAUGUUGACCAGAAAGUAGAAUAAUAAUUACUAGGUAUUGGAGGGUUGGGGAGAGGUGGGAAAAGAUAAUUUGCUUGGAUUUAGUCACUGUAUGCUAUAUGUAUAUAUGGAAAUACCACACUGAGCUCUUAAUAAGUACAAUUGAUACAUUUUAAUAAAAAUAAGAAUUUUAAAAAUUUUGUGCACAAGUGUUCUGAUCAAAGUACAGAAUGAUAGUUGAAAUCCAACCUACUCCUUGAGUUUCAACUUUGCUGAUCAGUCAAGCAAAAGUAAAUGAGACAAUACACUAGAAUAUAUACAUGUGACAAAUUUGAAAAGUACAGAAUGUGAAUAAAAACACAGUGAAUGUUUAAAUUUUUUAAAUAUUUGUUUUAGUAAGAGAUACAUUACUAUUGAUCUUCCUCAAAACUCUCUUCCUUCCUUUGAACACAUGUAUCCCAUCUGUCUUGCCACUUUCUGAAGCAGUUCUGUAAGUCCUUUUUCAUGGGUGUUUUCUUUUAGUUGCACCCUCCUGGCUGCCUUGAUGUCCUGAAUUGAUUCAAAGCAUUUACUUUUCAUGGUCGUGACUUUGGGGAAGAAUCAAAAGUCACCUGGUGCCAGAUCUGCUGAAUAAGGUGAAUGAAGACACAAACUAAUGUUUUUAUGAGCCUGCCUUUCCAUUGGAUGGCAUCUGGCAGCAGCAUUCACCUCAUGAAAAGACACAAAAACACUUCCAGAACUUCUUCAUAAAGAAUGCCAGAAUGCAUCUGUUACACAUUCAGGGGAUAGACCUCUUUAUAUUUGAUCCUAAAUUUCAAGUCUUCUCCAGAGUCCAGGCCUGGCUGCUGAGUUUCUUCAUAGGAACCUGUCACUGAGCUCUAGAAUCCCACCUCUGGAGACAGAUCACAUUGUAAACAAAAGCUAGAGGUGCAGGGGACAAAGGAGAAAUAAGAUGGGGAAGUGGUGUUGGGCCCUAGGCUUGGGCAGGCUUAGACUGUGUCAGGCAGGUCCUAUUAG